rnacentral:rRNA from 1 species
UCCACCCGUUCCCAUUCCGAACACGGAAGUUAAGCUCCUCAGCGCCGAUGGUACUGCACGGGAGACUGUGUGGGAGAGUAGGUCGCCGCCGAAU